CGGGACGGGUGAGUAAUGUCUGGGAAACUGCCUGAUGGAGGGGGAUAACUACUGGAAACGGUAGCUAAUACCGCAUAACGUCGCAAGACCAAAGAGGGGACCUUCGGGCCUCUUGCCAUCGGAUGUGCCCAGAUGGGAUUAGCUAGUAGGUGGGGUAACGGCUCACCUAGGCGACGAUCCCUAGCUGGUCUGAGAGGAUGACCAGCCACACUGGGACUGAGACACGGUCCAG
rnacentral:rRNA from 1 species